rnacentral:tRNA from 2 species
CGGCAUGUAGCGCAGCCUGGUAGCGCACCGUCAUGGGGUGUCGGGGGUCGGAGGUUCGAAUCCUCUCUCGCCGACCA